UUUAGUUUAGGCAAGUUAAAAUUCUUUCAUACUUAUUUUUAUUUUCACGAGUACAAACUAUAUGUAUUGUUCCCUGCAUAUGCUAUAAAGAUUUUAAGAUAAGCUGACUAGAAUACUCCAUUCAGUAUUCAGUCCACAUGUGAUGUCUCAAUAAAGUUUUGUUGAUUGAAGCAAAGGUGGGGUUAAUGGAGUUUUACUACCAUUAUAUGAUGUACCCAAUGAUGAUUUCCACACCCUACAGAGAUUUUUCUUAGGUUUUGACUGCAGUUCCCACUUAUUUAUAUUUGGUAUGAGGGAGAGAAUAAGCAUUUCAUGACAAUUCAUGUCACAGUUCUAUUUUAAGCACUAGGAUGCUGUCUAAAAUGAUCAGCCUUUUAUUGUUGUUUUCAGGAUGAGACCAAGGCUGCUUCCUGUUAAUCUGUCCAUAUGACAUUUUCAACAAGUACGUUCUGAGUUAGAUUUCCAGUUUUUGCCAUUUGCUAGCUGUGUGACCUUGAACAUGUUCUAUAACCAUUAUGUGCCUGGGCUUUCCUAUUUAAAAAGAAGUAGGUGGAUAAGAGUACCUAAUUCCAGGAAGGAGAUAGGAUUAAGAGACAGGAAGCCCAUGAGAGAAUGUAGCACAGUCUCUUGCACUCCUGCUCUUUCACAAACUUCCCAUGGCAGAUGCAGAAGAGAAACUCAAGGCUUAAGGAGCGCACAGAUCCAUUUAUGACAAUUCAGUCAUCUCAUGGGGAAGGAAUUGAAGAGCUAAAGGGGUGAAGUGAUUGACCAGGCUGGCUAGGUGUUUAGCCAUGACACAAACUCAGGACAGGAGCUCCUGACUCUCCAUUGAUGGAGAUUUCCAAGCACUAGGUCACCCAUGAAGCCAAGGUGGUCACUUCAGGUUUAUUGUUGAUCUUUCUGAAUUCCUGACUUUUUAAAUUUGAUGAGCUAGAAGUACCUUGGAAAGUAUGUGGUUUAAGGGAAAGAAUAUGGAUUCUGAGUUUGUUACUAUGUGGUUAUAUAGCCUUCAGUGUUCCUUUUUGAACUCCUGUCAGGACAGCUAGCUCCAUUCUUAGCCCUGAAACAUAGACGCCUGCCCUUUAUUGCUCUUUAUGACCUCAGGAUAACAUCACUCCAUUCCUCAAGCAAUUAUUCAACAACUUAUAUAUGCAACAUGAGGUGGAACCUCCCCUGAAUCUCUGAGAAACCAUGGUCUUUUUUUUUCCUUCUGGUUUCCAGCUGCAUCUUUUUAGCCCUAAAGGUCUCUGAAAACCAAACAUUGUUCUCUCAGACUCUUGUCAGAUAAAUUAUUUAAAACCUCUUUUCUCUGGUCUGGAAACAUACCAUUCUCAUUGAGACCAUGAGUGAUCAGCAUAUCUUGGAGGAAAACUAGUUCUCAGUGAUCUUAUCCUGCAAAAACUCCAAAUAGGCUCUUGUUAUGUGAAGACAGUAUAAGGCAGGAAGAAGGGGAAAUUACUACUAAAUAAUAAUUCAGUGUCUUGCUCCAGUUUGCAUAAGAACUCAGCUGCUUUCUGUCCUGCUUCCCAGAAAUCACUGAAGCAGAGCAUCUGAGGAUUGUGCUGCUGACUAAUUGGAAUAAGCCAGAGUAGAGACCAUGACCCAGGGACCAAGUUGAUGUCACUUUUAGUCAGAGGACAGAAAAGUACAUUCCAGAGACAUGCUAUUAUGUGCUUCUGAGAUUAAGGAAAACUCAAGUCCUAAAAAUUUAUUAAGGAAGAUGAUUUUUAAUGAGGAUUUUUGUUUAUUUUAUUAGUGAUUGCUUACUGACCCAAUUAAUGAGAAGCCAGAACUUCAGCAGCAGAGGAAAAUGAGGAGACAAGUAAAAGCAAAAUAGUGUAAAAUAUUAGCCAAAAUCACCUGAAGGGAAAAUAAUUUUUAAUCACAGAACUAAAGUUGGAUUAAUUGUGUGUAUUAUUUUUAAUUAUAUACACCAGCCCUUGGUAUCAUAGUUUAUGGAAGUCAGAAUUUUAUAAAAGUGGAAUCUAAAAAGCAUAGAAAUGGCCUCUAGGGUAAACCAGAAUGAAUUAUCUUUAGCAUGAAUUAUUUCUGCCAUAUUGUAUUUCCUGUAACUCUAAAAAUUAAACAUUCAACAAUCUCUUUUUUUUAGGAGAAUCAAAUCUGCAUCCUCAUGGAUACUAGUCAUAUUCCUUUCCACUGCACCACAACGGGAACUCCCAAUGGUCUGUCUUUCAUGAUCAGACCUUUCCCAGCUGCCCACAUGUAGCUGGAAUGAUACAAAUUUCAUGAUAGAAAUAUAUCCACAACUUCCUCUCCUCUCUCCUCCAGGCUUUGUGGUCUGGAGUUUAUUUGUUUGGUUUGUUUGUCUCAUUGGGGAAGUUGGAUGAGCAUAAGAAUUCAAAAGAGCUAUGAAAGGGAUAGAUUGAUUUAAAAAUUAGACCAUGGAUUUCCCACUGUGGCACAAUUGGUUAAUGAUCUGGCUUGUUUCCGCAAAGACAUGGGGUCUAUCCCCAGCCCAAUGCAGUGGGUUAAGGAUCUGGUGUUGCUGCAGCUGUGGUGUGGGUCACAGCUCCAGCUGGGAUUCACUUGCUGGUCCUGGAACUUCAUAUGCCAUGGGUAUAGCUGAACAAGAAAAAGUGAAUAAAAAUUAGAUCCUAAAGUGCUGUGGAAGAGUGCCUAGAGGAUCAGGAUGAAUCAGGGAAACUAAUCAGCCAGGGCUAGAGUUUGGGUGUGGAGGAGAAGAGGGAACUGUGUCUGUUAGUUUGAUGAUUUUGGGGAGCUACUUAGAGGCCUUCCUAAAAGGAUCUUGUGCAAUCUUUUGGGACUCCUUCUUGUCCACAGUUGAAAUAUUUGAAUGAUUAUCAAAUGAUUAUAGAAUGAUUAUCUUUUCAGUGUUUCUUAUACACUGUUUGACUCUAGCCUCAUGUUGAAAGGGGCGUGAGGCCACCCAAGUUAUUAGGGCACAUGAAGAUAUGAUGUAUAAUGUUUUAAGUUAUUCCCAUAAAAUAUUGUUCAGGUCCCUAAUGACCAUCCUUACUGUUCUAGCCACUCCAGCACCAGGAAACUUGUUCCUUGACUUAGCCCUUUUUCUAAUGGCACCACAUCACACUUUAAGUGACAGAUCUGUUCCUAAGUCUCUCCUACUUCUCACUGCAGUUUCUUCCAUGCCUUCACCACUAAGUGAUUGUGUUGGUCUAACCUAUAAAGCUGGAGGAUGACAGUUCCAAGGUAGAGAACAGCACACAGCUGAGUGCAUUUUGCUUCACAGCAGUACAGAGUCUGGUAAUUCUGCCAAGAAAGCGAUGCAGGUAUCUCAUGACAAUAGCUACAAUAAUCUUUUGCAGACAUGCACACAUGUAUCAGGUCACUGGCCAUGGCAUAGGUCUCACUCUAUUCAGCCUUUUCUUUAAAUAAAAGAGUCACAGAUGUCACCAUGGAGAAGGUGAAUUUUGCGGAGAUAGACAUGGUGUCAAAUAUCCUACAGAUUAGGGGCUCUAUGUGUCUGUUUCUAUAGCAUUUCACACUUUCCAACACUCUCAUAUAGUGUUUGAUUUGAUUCUCUUCACAGCCCUCUGAAGCAGGGGAGGCAAGAGCCAUGGCCCCAUAUGAGGAGUCAAACUUAGAAAGGUGAAGUUAGUCACCAAUGCCAAACAACCCCUGUGAAAGAGUCCAUAAGUAGGACUGGACUUUAGCUUAGAGUCCAUGGCUCUAUUAACUCUAAGAUGUUCUCUCUGGGUAAGUCUGGCCAAGGUUAGAACCACUGUUUAGUGUUUGACUGUGCUUUGUAGUCAAUGAUCAUAGAGGAGCACUUGAUCUCUUUGGGAGGGCUGGCUGUUUUCAAGUUCACCGUCCUUUCAUCAAGGGCCAGUUCUCAAAAAUUCAGAGAAAAGGAAAAACCAAAAGCUUCUUUAAGAAGGUACUUACCUGGGAUAUAGACCAUUUACUUGUGAAGUAUUAGAGGGGUGUGUUUCUCCAGAUUGCAACACAUUAAUAAAUAAAAAUAAUUAGCCCUAGUUUGCGAAUGUGGAGAGGGAGGGAGGGAAUAUUGCCUGAAUCCUCUACCACUGUUUUUUCCUUCUAUACUCUAAUUACCUCCAUCACAUUCUUGUUAUGUGAGUUUUGGGAGAAAGAAUACACUGAUUCAGGUGGAAAUAUAUAGUGCAGCCACUGAAGGCCACUUGCCUAUGUUUGGUGAUGGUAUUCAUUCAGUAAAAAUAUGGGCCUUGAAGCUAUUGUUUGGUUACAAAAUUUGAAGAUGUAUUAAUUUCUUAUUUUUAAAGGAUGCUAAAUAAGCUGUUACUUCAGUACCUUCUUCAAAAUUAUGUAUUUUGAAAAAAAAUCAAUAUUGGAAAUCCCUGUCUCUUAACUAAAUUGUUGAUGACUAUGAAACAGUACAUUCAAUAUAUAUUUAGUUCACAGUGAUUCUUCUGUUUGUCCAAAACUUUCCUACCUUGCUGUGGCUGAUUAUUUUUUCUUUUUCUGUCUUCUUUAUUUUUAAUUCUUUUUUUGAUCCAUCAGAAAAUCUAUCUCACUGAGGUCCUUAUUACUCUCUACCCAGAACCCAAGGGGAUAGAAUAGUCAAGUUCUAGAGUUGGAUGCUACAGGCUAAGAAAUUAGAGAAUUUGGUGUCUAUCUUGAAAUCCUGGGCAAUGACUAGUUUCCCUAGUCAUUAAUUUCAGAGUGCACCAGUUUCCUUUCUGUAAAACAGAAAUGAGGUUCUGUUCCUUUUUUUUUUCCAUUUUUUGAAGUUUUAUUAAGUAGAGUUGAUUUACAAUGCUGUGUUAAUUUCUGCUAUACAGAAAAGUGAUUUGAGAUUUUUUUUUUUGAAGAGUUAGGGAGAUAAACAAUUUAGCCUGCCUUGGCACUGUAAAUUCAUGGAAAGCAAGUGGUUAAAAAAUACAUUGAUUUUACAAAUUUAAAACAAACAAAAAUUAUACCACAAAGAAUGAACUUCUUGGAGUUCCUAUUGUGCCUCAGCAGGCUAAGAACCCAACAUAGUGUCUGUAAAGAUUCGGGUUUGAUCCCUGGCCUUGCUCAGUGGGUUAAGGAUCCAGCAUCACUGCAAGCUGCCAUGUAGGUUGCAGAUGUGGCUCGAAUGGAUCCCUCCAGUGUUGCUGUGGCUGUGGUGUAGGCCUCAGCUGCAGCUCUGAUUUUACCCCUGGCCUGGAAAUUUCCAUAUGCCUUAGGUGCUGCUGUAAAAAGAAAAAAAAAGAAUAAACUUCUCAAAAUAGGGGAAAUAUAUAAGUGUAUAUAUUUCAUCCUUUCUUAGACUAUGUUAUGUGUGGAUUCACUGGUAGGAAUUACAGGAAGACCUUUCCUCAGUUAUCCCCCUGAUUAUUUAAACUAUUAAAUAUUAACAGGGCUGUAGCCCCCAUAUCAUAUUGUUCAUGAAUGGUAGUUAUUUUUCUCUUCUGAAUGCCUAUGGUCCUUGUCCCCUGUGAAACACCACUGCAUCCAGAGAACUGCCCCGCCUCAGAUUACACUGCAUGGCAAAAAUGCAACUUUGAUGGUGGUAAAAGUCUGUAGGGCAGAGUAGACAACACUGUAGGGUCAGAAUAGUGGGUUAUAAUUUCACUCCUUAAUUUUGUCACAUUGGGCAAGUCAUGUAAUCCCUCAGAACUCAAUUCCUUCAUCUGGAAUAUGAGGUAACAAUAUUCACAUCCAUAGUCUUUUAUAACAGUCAGUAGAGUAAUAGUAUUUGAAGGAGAUUUUCACAUAGGAAGCAAGUAUUCAAUAAGGAUGUACGGAAUUAGCUGGAAUAUUAGUUACUGUGACAAGUUCUGUCUAAGGGCUAUCAAGGAAUUCUCACAGUCAUAAAGGCGCUUUUCCCAACUCUAUUCUGCUGAAUAUGAUCAUCCCUUUAGUUGUUAAUAGGAUUCACAUAAAAAUAAAGAAUCUCAUAGUUAAAUAAUCUUCAAGAGAUCCUAUUUAGAGUCACAAAAUGCACAUUAGCAUGCUAAAGUCAUUAAAAACCCUAUCAUUUAAAAAAAAUCCAUUUUUAGGAGUUCCUGUUGUAGCUCAGCAGAUUAGAAACCCAACUGGUAUCCAUGAGGAUAUGGGUUCGAUCCCUGACUUCACUCAGUGGGUUGAGGAUCCAGCGUGGCCCACAAGUUGUGGACGUGGCUCAGAUCCUGUGUUGUUGUGGUUGUGGUUGUGGCUGUGGUGUAUGUUGGCAGCUGCAGCUCCAAUUUGACCCCUAGCCUGGGAACUUCCAUAUGCCACAGGUGUGGCCCUAAAAAGCAAAAAAAAAAAAA
rnacentral:lncRNA from 1 species